rnacentral:lncRNA from 1 species
UGGGUGUAUGGGAUCCAUUUACUAUGAUACUCCGCAUAUCAUAGUCAAGUGCUUGGAUAAAAAUUUUCAUCCAAGCUUUUCAAUAGGCAUAGUUGGACCUAUUGAAAAGUGGAUGUCGGUUUGUAGAUUGUCCCUCGGCUAGAGAUGUGCUAAAUUGGACUGCCAUAGAUCUUUGGCUCUUGAUGGUUAAAUCAAGCAAGGACUAGAGCACCGGGCUCUGAUACUACUUGUUGUCCAGAUAUGGAGCCCA